CCUACGGGGGGCAGCAGUGAGGAAUAUUGGUCAAUGGGCGAGAGCCUGAACCAGCCAAGUCGCGUGAAGGAUGACGGCCCUACGGGUUGUAAACUUCUUUUGUCAGGGAGCAAUUGAGUCCACGUGUGGUCUUAGCGAGAGUACCUGAAGAAAAAGCAUCGCCUAACUCCGUCCAAGCAGCCGCGGUAAUACGGAGGAUGCGAGCGUGAUCCGGAUUUAAUGGGUUAAAGGGGUGCGUAGGCGGAAGAUCAAGUCAGCGGUAAAAAUUCGGGGCUCAACCCCGUCGUGCCGUUGAAACUGAUGGUCUUGAGUGGGCGAGAAGUAGGCAGAAUGCGUGGUGUAGCGGUGAAAUGCAUAGAUAUCACGCAGAAUUCCGAUUGCGAAGGCAGCAUACCGGCGCCCAACUGACGCUGAAGUACGAAAGCGUGGGUAUCGAACAGGAUUAGAUACCCUGGUAGUC
rnacentral:rRNA from 1 species